UACGUAGGGUGCGAGCGUUGUCCGGAUUUAUUGGGCGUAAAGGGCUCGUAGGUGGUUGAUCGCGUCGGAAGUGUAAUCUUGGGGCUUAACCCUGAGCGUGCUUUCGAUACGGGUUGACUUGAGGAAGGUAGGGGAGAAUGGAAUUCCUGGUGGAGCGGUGGAAUGCGCAGAUAUCAGGAGGAACACCAGUGGCGAAGGCGGUUCUCUGGGCCUUUCCUGACGCUGAGGAGCGAAAGCGUGGGGAGCGAACAGGAUUAGAUACCCCCGUAGUCC
rnacentral:rRNA from 1 species